rnacentral:tRNA from 3 species
GGUCUUAUGGUGUAGUCGGUUAUCACACUGGAUUUUGAUUCCAGUAACCCGAGUUCGAAUCUCGGUAAGACCU